rnacentral:lncRNA from 1 species
GGGUUGCAUGGGGGAAAUUGAAAAGCAAUUGUAAAGCAUUGAGCUCAAAGGUUGAGAAAGAAAAAUGCAUGUUAAAAAGAAAAGAAAAGAAUAAGAGCAUGAAGAUGGGGCUCAAUGCAAAAGGAAAAGGAAAAAAAAGUUGGGAAUGAGUGAGAUUGGUGAGAAAGAGAGUUGUGCUUAAAUGUUGAAUACUAUGAUAGCUCUCUUGACUCAAGGAUUUUGCAUUUCAGAAAAACCAAUACUUCUUGUUAGCCCAACCUCAUUACAAGCUUGGAAAAGUCCUUUUGAUGGCAUUUNCAUGUAAAGAUGUUGAUUGUUUGAG